rnacentral:lncRNA from 1 species
AUAGAACAGAUUUGUAUUACCAAAUAUAUCUUCAUGUACUUAGGCUUCCCAUUCUCUGAGAACCGCACUAAACUCCACAAAAUGAAAGUCCUGAUCUCACUGUGGCUCUGUAUAAAAACCAGCAUCCACCUUUCCACUGGCAUGCCACAUAGUAGAUGUGAAAUUCAUUAUAGACCCUCUUGAGCCAAAGUAUGGUGGGAAUGUAGCUAAGGGGGAAAUAUAUGUGUGGUAAGUUCUAGGAUGGAGAUUCAACCCCUGGCCAGGGCCAGAGUGGGGAGAUGGGGAAAUCCAAGUAGAUGCUUAGAUUUAACUUGGGGAUGGUGGCACACCCCUGUGGUCGCUUACCUUUAAGCUCAGAGCUAAGGGGAUUGCCCCAGAUCCAAAUCAAGCCUGGCCUGAACCCCAAAGUCUUUCACAGAAGUAAAAGAGUAGAGGCCAUGUCCUCGGGCAGGGGUGGAGGUGAGAGAAUAUAUUUUUAAAAUUAUAUGGGAAACACAUGUGAAUACUUAAUGAUAAC